UGCAACAACCUUCCAGCCGUUACCCUGUGCAAAUAAAUGUGUUAAAUAACCAUAAUGAUCCUAAAACAGAAUAUCCCGAGAAACCUAAUAACAAAGCAAGCAGAAAGCAGUCAAUUUUCAAAUGAAGUGUCCAAAUCCAAUUAAGUGGGUGGGAACUGAAUGCUAAACCAGAAGCCAAUAAAUAUGUACCUAUGGGGUUAUUUAAGAUUCAUAAUUAAACAAAUUGUCACCAUCUAUUAAAUAUUAAUAUAAAAUCACACUUGCACCUAGGUUAACAUGCAAAUUGUCAUUUCCAGUAAGCCAUUAAUUACAUCCAUCACUCUUCACCACUACUCAAGUAACCUUGUUGAUGUCACACAUUAA
rnacentral:misc_RNA from 1 species